rnacentral:lncRNA from 1 species
AAAUCUAAGACAAAGAAUCUGACAUAAGAUGAGUGUAGGUGGGUAAACACUAAGGGCAUUGGACGUGAAUCUAUGUCGAUUGCAUUGUAAGCUACUUUCAAGAUUUUCUAUUAAGCCUUGUGAUUGAUUAUGUAUGAGAAGGUUACUAGGAAAUUAUGAUUGAAUUUACUUAUGAGGUUUGAUACAUUAUGGAAGGUUGGGCAAUCUAUGAAUCAAGUUAUAAUUAGUUAGAUUUGGAUCUAAAUUAAGUGCAAAAGGAUUGGCCAUGGAAUAUUAUCAUGCAUUGUGAUUAUUUAUUA